rnacentral:miRNA from 1 species
GACGUCGAGCCAGACGUGCAAUGC